rnacentral:tRNA from 1 species
GCCCGAGUGGUGGAAUUGGUAGACGCGGGGGACUCAAAAUCCCCUGCCGCGAGGCGUGCCGGUUCAAGUCCGGCCUCGGGCACCA